rnacentral:rRNA from 1 species
CCCUUAGAUGUUCUGGGCCGCACGCGCGCUACACUGACGAUGGCAACGAGUUUUUCCUUCGCCGAAAGGUGUGGGUAAUCUUUUGAAACAUCGUCGUGCUGGGGAUAGAUCAUUGCUAUUUUUGAUCUUGAACGAGGAAUUCCUAGUAAGCGCGAGUCAUCAGCUCGCGUUGAUUACGUCCCUGCCCUUUGUACACACCGCCCGUCGCUACUACCGAUUGAAUGGUUUAGUGAGGACUCCUGAUUGGCGCCGCCGCCCCGGCAACGGAGCAGCGGACUGCCGAAAAGUUGUUCAAACUUGAUCAUUUAGAGGAAGUAAAAGUCGUAACA